rnacentral:rRNA from 1 species
CAGUCGCCGCGGUAAUACGAAGGGUGCAAGCGUUACUCGGAAUUACUGGGCGUAAAGCGUGCGUAGGUGGUGGUUUAAGUCCGUUGUGAAAGCCCUGGGCUCAACCUGGGAAUUGCAGUGGAUACUGGGUCACUAGAGUGUGGUAGAGGAUAGUGGAAUUUCCGGUGUAGCAGUGAAAUGCGUAGAGAUCGGAAGGAACAUCUGUGGCGAAGGCGACUAUCUGGGCCAACACUGACACUGAGGCACGAAAGCGUGGGGAGCAAACAGGAUUAGAUACCCCGGUCCUGUCUCUUAUACACAU